AGUGAACGCUGGCGGUAGGCCUAACACAUGCAAGUCGAACGGCAGCACAGGAGAGCUUGCCCUCUGGGUGGCGAGUGGCGGACGGGUGAGGAAUACAUCGGAAUCUACUCUGUCGUGGGGGAUAACGUAGGGAAACUUACGCUAAUACCGCCUACGACCUACGGGUGAAAGCAGGGGACCUUCGGGCUUGGCGCGAUUGACUGAGCCGAUGUCGGAUUCGCUAGUUUGCGGGGUAAAGGCCCACCAAGGCGACGAUCCGUAGCUGGUCUGAGAGGAUGAUCAGCCACACUGGAACUGAGCCACGGUCCAGGCUACUACGGGAGGCAGCAGUGGGGAAUAUUGGACAAUGGGCGCAAGCCUGAUCCAGCCAUACCGCGUGGGUGAAGAAGGCCUUCGGGUUGUAAAGCCCUUUUGUUGGGAAAGAAAUCCAGCUGGCUAAUACCCGGUUGGGAUGACGGUACCCAAAGAAUAAGCACCGGCUAACUUCGUGCCAGCAGCCGCGGUAA
rnacentral:rRNA from 1 species